rnacentral:rRNA from 1 species
CAGUAGCCGCGGGAAUACGGAGGGAGCUAGCGUUGUUCGGAAUUACUGGGCGUAAAGCGCGCGUAGGCGGUUACUCAAGUCAGAGGUGAAAGCCCGGGGCUCAACCCCGGAACUGCCUUUGAAACUAGGUGACUAGAAUCCUGGAGAGGUCAGUGGAAUUCCGAGUGUAGAGGUGAAAUUCGUAGAUAUUCGGAAGAACACCAGUGGCGAAGGCGACUGACUGGACAAGUAUUGACGCUGAGGUGCGAAAGCGUGGGGAGCAAACAGGAUUAGAUACCCGGGUAGUCCCUGUCUCUUAUAA